rnacentral:rRNA from 1 species
GGGGGAAUUUUGGACAAUGGGCGCAAGCCUGAUCCAGCCAUGCCGCGUGAGUGAAGAAGGCCUUCGGGUUGUAAAGCUCUUUCGGUGGGGAAGAAAUUGCUUCGAUUAAUACUCGGAGUAGAUGACGGUACCCGCAUAAGAAGCACCGGCUAACUACGUGCCAGCAGACGCGGUAAUACGUAGGGUGCGAGCGUUAAUCGGAAUUACUGGGCGUAAAGCGUGCGCAGGCGGUUGUGUAAGUCAGAUGUGAAAUCCCCGGGCUCAACCUGGGAACUGCAUUUGAGACUGCACGGCUAGAGUGUAGCAGAGGGGGUAGAAUUCCACGUGUAGCAGUGAAAUGCGUAGAGAUGUGAGAUACCGAUGGCGAAGGCAGCCCCUGGUUACACUGACGCUCAUGCAC